GACGAACGCUGGCGGCGUGCCUAACACAUGCAAGUCAACUUGAGGGAAGGAGCAAUCUGACCUGAUGGUGGCGCAAGGGUGCGUAACGCGUAAGUAACUUGCCCCAAGGUAAGGAAUAACGUCGAGAAAUCGGCGCUAAUACCUCAUAAUGCAGCGGAUCCGCAUGGAUAUGUUGUUAAAAGGUUUACCGCCUUGGGAUAGGCUUGCGUCUGAUUAGCCUAGUUGGUGUGGUAAUGGCACACCAAGGCUACGAUCAGUAACUGGUCUGAGAGGAUGAUCAGUCACACUGGGAACUGAGACACGGUCCAGACUCCUACGGGAGGCAGCAGUGAGGAAUAUGGC
rnacentral:rRNA from 1 species